rnacentral:rRNA from 1 species
UACGGAGGGUGCGAGCGUUGUCCGGAAUCAUUGGGCGUAAAGAGCGUGUAGGCGGCUUGGUAAGUCCGCUGUGAAAGUCCAGGGCUCAACCCUGGAAUGCCGGUGGAAACUGCCAAGCUCGAGUCCGGAAGAGGCGAGUGGAAUUCCUGGUGUAGCGGUGAAAUGCGCAGAUAUCAGGAGGAACACCAAUGGCGAAAGCAGCUCGCUGGGACGGUACUGACGCUGAGACGCGAAAGCGUGGGGAGCAAACAGG